GAGCUGCGAGGUCCGCGGCACGAAGCACCAGGAGCGGAAGGACCAGUUCGACCCCAGGAACGCCGAGGCCGUGAUGGCCAAGGGGGGCCCGAGGUGCGCGCAGGGGGCAAAGAAUGAGGGCAAGGUGAAUGCCAGCAUCCGCAGCAAAAC
rnacentral:rRNA from 15 species